GGCUACUUCAAGAGAAGAGGGAGAGGAGAUUUUGACUCUCAUGAAACCAAGAUCCAUUCCAUAUCUUAGAAGGAGAAAGAAAAUCAAGCAAAGGUAUAAACCCUUUUUGUUUAUGUAAUUUUUUGAUGGUUGUAAAUCAAACCUUGAAUCCAUAGUUCUACACUCAAAAACCUUAGAUAUAUGUGUUUAGUAGUUAACCUAAGUGGUAGAACUCAAAAAUCACGUUUCUAAAAGUCGUGGUGUUGAUUUAUGUGAAAACAGUCCCGUUUCUAGGAACUGUUUUGGAUCAGUCCGUAGCAGGGGCAUUUUCGUCCCCUUUUUGUGCUUUAUAAAUUCUGGAAAAAUUUGGGGUGUUAAUAUCAGUAGAUAUGCAGGUUGUGUAAAAAUUUGAGAAUUUUUGGCCAUACGGUUUGAGAGAUAUGGAUUUUACGGUGAAGGACCCCAAAACUGUUUUUUUGGCCAAAACGUUGCUGCCACAAAAAGGAAGUUUCGGGGUUAGCUAGCCUGCUCUAAAACUUCUGGGCUUUUGGUAUGUUAUAGUACACUCAAUAAGCUUUCCAUAGACUCCAAAACGGACUAAAUCCGACAUCGGAGGAGAGAGUUAUGAAAUUUCUCCCAAACUACUCAAAGGUAAGAAAAACUGUUAGAGCAACAGUUUUUAGCAGCCACUUCCGGGCUAAAUUUCGAGAGCUUUACAUGUCCAAAUAUGGAUUGUGAUAGAUGAAAACUGUAGUUCGGAAAGUUACGAAUCCAACAAAAUUGACGGAUCGUUAAUCGGAGUUACAGAUCUCGUUUUAUAUAAGUUUUAGCAAAGGACUCUUAAACUGUUUUAUGACAAAAAGUUGCUGUCCAAGAAAUGGUAGGGGCUGUUUUGGAAACUUAAAUUGUGAAAUAAAUUAUGGCCUUUUGGGAAAUGAAAAUAUAUGGUAUUAAGUAAUUCGUGUCCAAAAAUGAGCUAAUUCUGGCUUAAAACGACCAAGUUAUGACCAUUUCAAUUUUUGUGAUUUUCCGACGGAAAUCGCUAUAACCGGAGUUCUACAACUCUGAUUGCCACGAAAUUUAAAAUGGAGCAUCACGUUAACAUAUAUAAGGUUAUGUCAAAAGAUGGGCAUCUCUGGAGUUAAGCACGAGGUAGCUAAUUUUCUUAAGUCACGCACUAAUUCUGAUUUUUGAAAAAU
rnacentral:lncRNA from 1 species